rnacentral:lncRNA from 1 species
GCUGAUUACUAACUCUGCAGGACCAUUCAACUGAGCUACUAGAUUUGAUAAAGUCAACUUCUUUUCUCUCCAGUUUUGUUUCGUGUUGUAGAUGCUUUCCGCUUCAGGUGAGAGUUCAGUGGAUGAGACUGGAGUCACAUUGGAAGGGCAAGACUGCAGAGAAUGCAGGGGAAGGAUCAGCUGAUGGACAGUCUUCUACUGACACUGAUGGACAGGUGGUAAGGCCAU